rnacentral:rRNA from 1 species
CCAAACGGGUGGUAAACAUCACCUAAGGCUAAAUAUUGGCGAGAGACCGAUAGCGAACAAGUACCGUGAGGGAAAGAUGAAAAGAACUUUGAAAAGAGAGUUAAACAGUACGUGAAAUUGUUGAAAGGGAAACGAUUGAAGUCAGUCGUGCUGGCGCGAAAUCAGCUCGACCACUCGGGGAUCACGGGCUGUAGCGAGCCUCAAAACCGCUACGACUCGUGAUUUCUUAGUGGCCUGGUGCACUUUCGUGUCGGCUGGUUAACAUCAAUUUCGAUCGUCAUAAAAAGGCUGGAGGGAUGUGGCUCCUUCGGGAGUGUUAUAACCUUUAGCGGAAUGUGGUGGUCGGGAUUGAGGCUUGCAACGAAUACCUUCAGGGCUGUUCCACCUGGCCUCUCAUCGGAAUUCUGGCGGCGACAGCUUGCUGACGUUGUUAGGAUCGGCCUUCGAACAGGCUAGAGUGUGAGCAAA